UACGGAGGAUGCAAGCGUUAUCCGGAAUGAUUGGGCGUAAAGCGUCCGCAGGUGGCUAUGUAAGUCUGCUGUUAAAGAGUGAGGCUCAACCUCAUAAGAGCAGUGGAAACUACAUGGCUAGAGUUCGUUCGGGGCAGAGGGAAUUCCUGGUGUAGCGGUGAAAUGCGUAGAGAUCAGGAAGAACACCGGUGGCGAAGGCGGCUGCCUGGGCCUGGCCUGACGCUGAGGCGCGAAAGCGUGAGGAGCGAUCCGG
rnacentral:rRNA from 1 species